rnacentral:rRNA from 4 species
UAGGUGAACUGCGGAAGGAUCAUUA